UACGGGGGGAGCAAGCGUUGUUCGGAUUUACUGGGCGUAAAGGGCGCGUAGGCGGUCGUGACAAGUCACUUGUGAAAUCUCCGGGCUUAACUCGGAACGGUCAAGUGAUACUGUCGGACUAGAGUACAGAAGGGGCAACUGGAAUUCUCGGUGUAGCGGUGAAAUGCGUAGAUAUCGAGAGGAACACCUGCGGCGAAGGCGGGUUGCUGGGCUGAUACUGACGCUGAGGCGCGAAGGCGUGGGGAGCGAACGGG
rnacentral:rRNA from 1 species